GACGAACGCUGGCGGCGUGCUUAACACAUGCAAGUCGAACGGAAAGGCCCUGCUUUUUUGGGGUGCUCGAUUGGCGAACGGGGGAGUAACACGUGAGUAACCUGCCCUUGACUUUGGGAUAACUUCAGGAAACUGGGGCUAAUACCGUAUCGGAGCUCCUGCUGCAUGGUGGGGGUUGGAUAGUUUCGGCGGUUGGGGAUGGAUUCGCGGCUUAUCAGCUUGCUGGUGGGGUAGUGGCUUACCAAGGCUUUGACGGGUAGCCGGCAUGGGAGGGUGACCGGCCACAUUGGGCCUGAGAGACGGACCAGAGUCCUACGGGAGGCAGCAGGGGGGAACAUUGCACAAUGGGCGGAAGCCUGAUGCAGCAACGUCGCGUGCGGGAUGACGGCCUUCGGGUUGUAAACCGCUUUCGCCUGUGACGAAGCGUGAGUGACGGUAAUGGGUAAAGAAGCACCGGCUAACUACGUG
rnacentral:rRNA from 1 species